rnacentral:rRNA from 1 species
UACGUAGGUGGCAAGCGUUGUCCGGAUUUACUGGGUGUAAAGGGCGUGUAGCCGGGAAGGCAAGUCAGAUGUGAAAUCCGGAGGCUCAACCUCCGAAUUGCAUUUGAAACUGCUGUUCUUGAGUGAAGUAGAGGUAAGCGGAAUUCCUAGUGUAGCGGUGAAAUGCGUAGAUAUUAGGAGGAACAUCGGUGGCGAAGGCGGCUUACUGGGCUUUUACUGACGCUGAGGCUCGAAAGCGUGGGGAGCAAACAGG